GAUGAACGCUAGCGGCAGGCCUAACACAUGCAAGUCGAGGGCCCGGCGCACGGGUGCGUAACGCGUAUCAAUCUACCUUGUAAAGGGAUAGCCCCAGAAAUUUGGAUUCAUACCUAUUUACAUGAUGGCAUGCGUCCCAUUCGUUAGUUGGUGUGGUAACGGCACACCAAGACGAUGUUGGGUAGGGGUCCUGAAAGGGAGAUCCCCCACACUGGUACUGAGACACGGACCAGAGUCCUACGGAAUGCAGCAGUGAGGAAUAUUGGUCAAUGGAGGCAACUCUGAACCAGCCAUGCCGCGUGCAGGAUGACGGGCUAUGGAUUGUAAACUGCUUUUAUAGGGAAUCGGUGCCUAAGAAUAAGGAUCGGCUAACACCGUGCCAGCAGCCGCGGUAAUAC
rnacentral:rRNA from 1 species